rnacentral:rRNA from 1 species
UACGUAGGGUGCAAGCGUUGUCCGGAAUUAUUGGGCGUAAAGAGCUCGUAGGCGGUCUGUCGCGUCUGGUGUGAAAACUCAGGGCUUAACCCUGAGCUUGCAUCGGGUACGGGCAGACUAGAGUGCGGUAGGGGAGACUGGAAUUCCUGGUGUAGCGGUGAGAUGCGCAGAUAUCAGGAGGAACACCGAUGGCGAAGGCAGGUCUCUGGGCCGAUACUGACGCUGAGGAGCGAAAGCGUGGGGAGCGAACAGG